UUAGAUAAUAUAUAAAUCAAUAAUAUAAAUCAAUAAUUAUAUAAAUCAACAAAUAAACUAAACAAUAUACAUUAGCUGCUAUGUAACAUGCUAGUCAUUUAAUAUGAUUUUUAUUUUACAUCAAUUUACUUAUCGGUAGUUUAUAUCAUUUUAUCAUCAAAAUAUUUUAGAUUCUUUUAUACAUAUAACAUCAAAAACAUUAAAAGUAUGUAAAUAGCAAUAAUUAAAUGCAAUAUUAUUAUUAAAUGAAAUAAAUUUUUAAAAUUCAACAAUUUAUAAUAACAUUCGAAGAAAGACACAGGCAUGGCAGCUAACAUAUAAAACAUAACCAAACAAUCCGAAAUAGAACAGAAUAGAACAAAUUAGAAAAUAAAUACAUACGAGAAAGAAGUAUUUCGACGAUAUGUGUACAUUUUUCAAUUCUGAAAUGCUUUUUUCAGAAAAUGAAAUAUCCAUUCUAACCUCUCAAUGAUGAAGUUGGAAUCUUCUUUCCAUGUAAACGAAGAAAUUUUAUACGAAAUAAAUAGUUUUGAGGAAAUUUACACUGUUUAUUUUUGACACAGAACUUUAUAUUUAUUCAUAUUAUUUCUAUAUACUAUCAAGAGAUAAAAUAAAAAAAAAUUCAAUUUUAUUCGAUGCACAGAAAACGUUCGAGUAUAAAGAAACGAAUCUAUGACGCAUAGAGGGCGACAGUGAGAGGUUAAUAAGCAUCGCCAUUACACACACGCUUAACCUUUUUAAUUAUAUAUUUCGAUCUGUUGUAAUCCGCAUCGAUCAACAGAUAAUUUUCUCCUCUAUUCGCUUAGAGUCUAAGAUUUAUAACAAAAUAAUCGUUCAAUUGCCGGAUCAUUCGACGGACAAAUGAGUCGGUUUAUCGGCCUUUAGAAUUCAGUCCAAUCGUGAGAUACGUGCUCCCGUAGGGCAUAAAUCGCAUAAGUCUUUCUAGUCGAUAGAAACCGUACUCGCAUAUCUAUAUUCGCGUUAUUCGGUACACGUAAUCGGUUUGUACUUCGAGUACCUAUUUUCUUGGAAGAAAGCAUUUAGAAACAUUAUGCUUUCAAGAUACGAGAGUUGGCAAGAGUGAAAGUUCAUAUACGUGAAGUUACGUCAAAGCGAGAUACCGAAAAACUUGUGCAUAAAAACUCGACGCGUGUUAACAUUCAUGUGGCCAAUAGAGUAUUAUGCAAUGAGUCAUACAUUAUGUGCUGACAAGUACGAGCAAAUAUCUUUUCAACGAAAUUUCAUUUUUUGUGUGUAAUAGUUACAGUAAUAGGAAAAUUGUGUAUGAAUUAAUUGUGAUACGGAUUGGUGGAAAGAAAGACAAGAUAAGCAAAAAAGAUGGAUUAAAGAAGGAAGCAAGAGAAAGCGAUAUCCUCUUUCUUCAGGAUAAACUGACGUAACUAAUCCCACACGGCGUUUUAUUAUCCUUCAUUAUCGAAGCACAAAUUAUAAUCCACGAAUAGCGUUUGGCGUUUAUGGAGGCAGUACCUAUGAAAACUAACCUAUACUCUUUAUUCCUGGCGCAUGUCGUCGAGACCGUCGUUGGAUCGAACAAUGCGUUCGUCCCACGCCGCGCCAUGGUGCACUACCUCGUUCCACGCUGGAUCUGCUAUCUAUGGGGCAAGAGUAACACAUGUACUUAGUAGAAACGGUCCUGUGGAGAACAUUCUGUGGAAUCUAAUUUAUUGGCAAGACGAUUGUGUGAGAGAGAACAUAUCUAGACAAUUGAUGAGAAAUUAAGUUUGAAUGGAUGUUGUGGCAUUCGUGGGCGUAAUUGUAUAGAUUAUUUGAUGUGGAAGUGGAAGAAUCAUGGACUCAUAGUUUUGAAUUUUUAUAUUUAAUGAUUGGGAAUGAUUAUAGAAGAAGAACAAACAUAAGUAUUUAGAGGUUAUGUGUGUUAUUGGGUCAAUGGGAUGAUUAUGAAAAUAUUGCAAUAUAAGAUUGAUUAAAAAUUAAAGGAACCAGAUAUACUCAUUGUUAAAAAUGAUUGUAGGAUUCAUGUUUAAAUAUUAUGGCUAAUAUGUAUUGAAUUAAUGAAAAAGAUACUUUAAGUUUAUAUAAUCACAUUGUUAAAAUUUCAUAUAUUGGGACAUGAUAAAUGAAUAUAUUGUUUAUUUAUUGAAAUGCUGAACAAUAAAGUAUUUAGAUAUAUAGUGUAAG